ACUAUGAAAAGUCAUUAGGAUCAAGUCAUAUUAUCUUUCUUACUGCCUGAUGAAUUGAAGCAAUUUCGGUUUGUCGGGUUUUCCAAAUAACAAUAAGAGCAUGCACUAGACUUUUAAUGUAACACAUUCAUUAGGAUUUUUUACUUCUACUGGACAGAUAAAAGCAUGCAAUGUUGGUGCAAAGAAAAGAUGAGCUGCCAUGCAAUGGGUUCAAGUGUACAAAGAUGAUAUUUUAUUAAAUGAAUUUAGUAUUUAAUUUCUGAAAGUUCUGACAGAAGAAUAUCUAAAAUAGAUGGUUAAAACUCCUUACACAGAGCAGAACUUUAAGUCUGCUCUGAUAUUUUAAUUAGGAGGAGAUCAAACAGCUCUAGUCUUUUUACUCAAGCGAUGUGUAGUGAGAACCUAUCAAAUAAAACUUGAACCGUAGUCCUGACCUAUAGAAGAGGCUUUCUACAAGUAAGAAGAACAUUCAUGAAGUCCGUAUACCUUCAUGACAACAGAACUAGUCUUCAUCAAGUCAUUAAAAUCACAUGACUUGCACAGAAUCAUACUUUAUUAGAGGGAUCAUGUGCUUAGUCCUCGACUUCGUUUUUGAGAUACUACAAAUUAUUAUUGAUUCACUUGAUGUAGAGGUAUGAGGGCUUCAACCUUCCAACACCAAAUGAAAACUCAUGCGUGGAGGAAAAAAGUGUCAAGAUUAGAGGGGCCAGAACACAGGGAUCAAGAAGGUGAUCACUAGCCUAACAUUGAAAGUCUCAGGGGGGGAGUGGCUGUAGACAUCUCCCCUAGAGACUUGCGACUGAAUUCUAUCUUCACCGGGGUUGGAGGUAGUGUUCAUGGCUGCCUUUGGACCAGAGGAAAAAGGAAAGAAUAAAGGGACACUAAUGCUAGUGUCAUAUAAGUUAUCUAGUAGAUGCAAAAUAGGGUCACCUACAGUUGUAAUCAAGACAACUUUGCCAUGAAUGAUCUAUAUGCUAAUCCGCCUCAAAUGCUGAAUCAUGUCCGAAAUGUGAUUGCUGCAAGAACAGGUACAAUGUUGCCACAUUCAAUAGAAAGCUGUCAUGAACUGCAUAAUCAGCUGACAUGCAGAUGAAAGCUUCAAGCCUAAGUUCAGAAUUCAUAAAUUAAUUUACUGAAGUUGGAACUGGCUACACACAUUGUUCGAGUUACCUUAGCUUGAUGGAAUCUUUCAAGCACGCGGUGAUAUUGUUCACGUACUUCGGGAGACUCCACCAUUCAUCACUACCUUCACAACUAAAUUUCGUAAGUUCAAUCUAAUUUAGUAAAUUGCUAUGGUAGCAUUGCUGCAUUGUGUAGCUCUCAUUCCUUUCUUCUUUCUUUUGAUGUCACAAACAACGCAUUUGAUGGCCAGAUUC
rnacentral:lncRNA from 1 species